rnacentral:rRNA from 1 species
UACGUAGGGUGCUAGCGUUGCUCGGAAUUACUGGGCGUAAAGGGCGCGUAGGCGGCACUGUUAGUCAGGCGUGAAAGUCCUGGGCUCAACCUGGGAACUGCGCUUGAUACGGCAGAGCUAGAGGAUGGAAGAGGCUCGCGGAAUUCCCAGUGUAGAGGUGAAAUUCGUAGAUAUUGGGAAGAACACCGGUGGCGAAGGCGGCGAGCUGGUCCAUUACUGACGCUGAGGCGCGACAGCGUGGGGAGCAAACAGG